AUACGGAGGGGACUAGCGUUGUUCGGAAUUACUGGGCGUAAAGCGUACGUAGGCGGAUCAGAAAGUAUGGGGUGAAAUCCCAGGGCUCAACCCUGGAACUGCCUCAUAAACUCCUGGUCUUGAGUUCGAGAGAGGCGAGUGGAAUUCCGAGUGUAGAGGUGGAAUUCGUAGAUAUUCGGAGGAACACCAGUGGCGAAGGCGGCUCACUGGCUCGAUACUGACGCUGAGGUACGAAAGUGUGGGGAGCAAACAGGAUUAGAAACCCCAGUAGUCC
rnacentral:rRNA from 1 species